CAGUCGCCACGGUAAAACGAAGGGUGCAAGCGUUAAUCGGAAUUACUGGGCGUAAAGCGUGCGUAGGCGGUUUGUUAAGUCUGCUGUGAAAUCCCCGGGCUCAACCUGGGAAUGGCAGUGGAUACUGGCAAGCUAGAGUGUGUCAGAGGAUGGUGGAAUUCCCGGUGUAGCGGUGAAAUGCGUAGAGAUCGGGAGGAACAUCAGUGGCGAAGGCGGCCAUCUGGGACAACACUGACGCUGAGGCACGAAAGCGUGGGGAGCAAACAGGAUUAGAUACCCCCGUAGUCCCUGUCUCUUAUAC
rnacentral:rRNA from 1 species